AUGGUGUACUCCUCCUGUUUGAAUCGAAGUUUGGAAUUAAACAAACUUCUCCUAAGGAGGAUAGCUGGGGCGAUUCAGGUGAGAUCCCAUGUAGAUCUAGCUUUCUAUUCACUCGUGCGAUCCAGGCGAGAAGGGGGAGGGGGCACCACGGCUCCUCUCUUCUCGAGAAUCCAUACAUCUCUUAUCAGUGUAUGGAGAGCUAUCUCUCAAGCACAGGGCGAGGUUCAUCCUCAAUGGGAAAAUGGAGCAUCUAACAACGCAUCUUCACAAACCAAGAUGUUGCUUUGUAACUAA
rnacentral:rRNA from 1 species